CGGACGUUUGGCUGGGAUAUGGGUCCGGCUGCAAAUGAUCUUAUCAAAUACAGAUAUAAAAAAACGCUCACACUCAACUCGCUCCUUCUGCUCUUGUGCUUGGUUGCUAGCUAUCACCUUAGUCUCCUCCAUGCCGUUGACCACAAAAACAAUCCCCAAAUCAGCACCAAACAACCCCCUGCCGCACCUUGCCGCCGGCAGUUCCUAAAGUGCCGUUUCGGCGGAGCGCCCUAGCCCCGCUGCUUCCUUCUCCGCUGCACGGGCGCUUGCUUCGCCGCCGGCGGCUCCGCAACAGCGAGCUGUCUGAAGCACAACGGCGGCCCCUUCCCCCGCUGCUCUUGAGGAUGCACGCGGCGUACGGGAGGAGUCGGGAUGGGUCGCGCGAGAGAAGGAUCAGGUCCCGGUGGUUCUGCAGGAGGCGCGUGCAAAGGGGAACACGCGAGAAUGUUUCAGGGGGUCGGCUGGAUCAAUGCUUCGGGAGUUGGGGCCAAGCCGGGAGCACUGGCAAGUCCAAACUCUGCGCCUUUGUCAGGUGAUGGAUGGACAGAAAACUCUGAGCACAGUUGGUGACGGGACGGUGGCCAGUUGGGGACAGGUUGGGGACGAGCCACGUUGUCCCAGUCGUCGACGAGCAAAUGUGAUGCCUGAGGUGGAAGAGCGGAGGUAAGAGGGAGAGGCGGAGGCGCGGUGUGGUAGCCGGUGCAAUGCGGCGGCGCUGUAACGCCUCCUUCGAUAUGAUGGCAGAUGGCUGGAUGGAUCCGCUUGACGUGGUACAAGCGAGUGGAUGCACUUACUUGCAAUUGGCAACAGCCAGCCGGAACCGAUCUGUGUCGUGCUUCAGCUAUCACCGUCCUGCUUCUCCCCGCCGCGAAGCGCCGCCAGCUAGAACCGAGAAGACGAUCAGAUCGCGCCACAUAUGCCCCGGGAAGAAAUAACUAACCUACGCCUAGGCGUAUAGUCCAAGAAGAUGGUACCACAAUUUGAAUAGUGUCCAGACUCUUUCCUAGUGGCAACGUUGUUUGUGCAGAUCAUGGUGGUUGCCGGUUCGAACUCCUGUACCAAUUCUUUUUGCAUCGAAUCUCCUGUUUUAAUUUUAAGUUUUUAUAGAUAGAUCGAAACAACAUGACCUCA